AUUGAACGCUGGCGGCAGGCCUAACACAUGCAAGUCGAACGAGUGGCGGACGGGUGAGGAAUGUCUGGGAAACUGCCCGAUGGCGGGGGAUAACUACUGGAAACGGUAGCUAAUACAGCAUACCAUCGGAUGUGCCCAGAUGGGAUUAGAUUGUAGGUGAGGUAACGGCUCACCUAGGCGCCGCGCCCUAGCUGGUCUGAGAGGAUGACCAGCCACGUUGGAACGGAGACACGGUCCAGACUCCUACGGGAGGCAGCAGUGGGGAAUAUUGCACAAUGGGCGCAAGCCUGAUGCAGCCAUGCCGCGUGUAUGAAGAAGGCCUUAGGGUUGUAAAGUACUGUCAGCGGGGAGGCGUUACCCGCAGAAGAAGCACCGGCUAACUCCGUGCCAGCAGCCGCGGUAAUAC
rnacentral:rRNA from 1 species